rnacentral:sRNA from 1 species
UUCAGAGAACUGGAAAGUUAAGUUCUGAAUUUGCCCACAGAGGAUGUAGAGCACAGGCAAGUGUCUGUGCUCCACAGCAUUGACGAGUCUCAGCCCUGACCCAAAGAGACCCAGCCAGCAGGGAUGAGGUGGUAGCUUCCUCUUCAUUAAUCCCUUAGGGGCU